rnacentral:rRNA from 1 species
GUCUACGGCUAUGCCACCCUGAAUAAGCCCGACCCUGUCUGAUCGGGGAAGCUAAGCAGAGUUGGGCCUGGUUAGUACUGGUUAGUACUGGUUAGUAGACCACCUAGGAAGACCAGGUGCUUUGGUGU